rnacentral:rRNA from 1 species
GACGAACGCUGGCGGCGUGCCUAAUACAUGCAAGUAGAACGCUGAAGAGAGGAGCUUCCUCUUCUUGGAUGAGUUGCGAACGGGUGAGUAACGCGUAGGUAACCUGCCUUGUAGCGGGGGAUAACUAUUGGAAACGAUAGCUAAUACCGCAUAACAAUGGAUGACACAUGUCAUUUAUUUGAAAGGGGCAAUUGCUCCACUACAAGAUGGACCUGCGUUGUAUUAGCUAGUAGGUGAGGUAAUGGCUCACCUAGGCGACGAUACAUAGCCGACCUGAGAGGGGGAUCGGCCACACUGGGACUGAGACACGGCCCAGACUCCUACGGGAGGCAGCAGUAGGGAAUCUUCGGCAAUGGGGGCAACCCUGACCGAGCAACGCCGCGUGAGUGAAGAAGGUUUUCGGAUCGUAAAGCUCUGUUGUAAGUCAAGAACGGGUGUGAGAGUGGAAAGUUCACACUGUGACGGUAGCUUACCAGAAAGAGACGGCUAACUACGUG